rnacentral:tRNA from 1 species
GUAAGGUCAGCUAAUUAAGC